AUGAUCCAUCUUCAACAUUGGAUAAGGUACAUUUGGUCUAGUUCUUCCUUUUCUUCCACUCACAUUUCUUCGAGUCUUGUGAUGGAUAGGCUAAGCACAUCAUCUCCGGUCUUUGACAACAACGACGGCGCGAACAACUACAUCAUCCUCAGACUACAACGACAAAUGCAAGGUGCACAAUCAACCUUGCGAGAGCGCAUCGAGAACCUCACCAUCAACAUACGACACACCAAAAGCAAGCUAAAGGGACUACAUAGACAACAAGUUGGACGAGCUCAAAGAUCAACUACGCGACAUCAUGGCCAACUACAAGUAUUCUCCCCUUCGUCAUCUUCAAGGUGGCGGCGAGCAAGUCGAUCAUCUUUGGAGCUCCCAUGUGAUGCAAGAGCAAUUUGUCCACAUCCACAUCUACAUGGCGACCAGCAUCACAUUCGUGAUCCACAUCGUCAUGAAGGGAAAGUCACCUCCAAGCAUCAUGUGUGCACCAACGACGAACGGCAUCUACUACGAGCUCAAGCACGACAACGGCACCAUCAACAUGAAGAUGCUCGCGAUGCAUACACCUGCAAGUCCCAAUAA
rnacentral:rRNA from 1 species